rnacentral:rRNA from 1 species
AAGCGCAUACGGUGGAUGCCUUGGCAGUCAGAGGCGAUGAAAGACGUGGUAGCCUGCGAAAAGCUUCGGGGAGUCGGCAAACAGACUUUGAUCCGGAGAUGUCUGAAUGGGGGAACCCAGCCAUCAUAAGAUGGUUAUCUUGUACUGAAUACAUAGGUGCAAGAGGCGAACCAGGGGAACUGAAACAUCUAAGUACCCUGAGGAAAAGAAAUCAACCGAGAUUCCCUUAGUAGUGGCGAGCGAACGGGGACUAGCCCUUAAGUGGCUUUGAGAUUAGCGGAACGCUCUGGAAAGUGCGGCCAUAGUGGGUGAUAGCCCUGUACGCGAAAAUCUCUUAGUCAUGAAAUCGAGUAGGACGGAGCACGAGAAACUUUGUCUGAAUAUGGGGGGACCAUCCUCCAAGGCUAAAUACUACUGACUGACCGAUAGUGAACUAGUACCGUGAGGGAAAGGCGAAAAGAACCCCUGUGAGGGGAGUGAAAUAGAACCUGAAACCGUGUGCCUACAACAAGUUCGAGCCCGUUAAUGGGUGAGAGCGUGCCUUUUGUAGAAUGAACCGGCGAGUUACGUUAUGAUGCGAGGUUAAGUUGAAGAGACGGAGCCGUAGCGAAAGCGAGUCUGAAUAGGGCGUU